GACGAACGCUGGCGGCGUGCUUAACACAUGCAAGUCGAACGGAAAGGCCCUGCUUUUGUGGGGUGCUCGAGUGGCGAACGGGUGCGUAACACGUGAGUAACCUGCCCUUGACUUUGGGAUAACUUCAGGAAACUGGGGCUAAUACCGGAUAGGAGCUCACGCUGCAUGGUGGGCGUUGGAACGUUUCGGCGGUAGGGGAUGGACUCGCGGCUUAUCAGCUUGUUGGUGGGGUAGUGGCUUACCAAGGCUUUGACGGGUAGCCGGCCUGAGAGGGUGACCGGCCACAUUGGGACUAAGAGACGGACCAGACUCCUACAGGAGGCAGCAGUGGGAAAUAUUGCACAAUGGGCGGAAGCCUGAGGCAGCGACGCCGCGGUCGGGAAGACGUCCUUCGGGUUGUAAACCGCUGUCGCCUGUGACGAAGCGGGAGUGACGGUAAUGGGUAAAGAAGCACCGGCUAACUACGUG
rnacentral:rRNA from 1 species